rnacentral:rRNA from 1 species
AACGAACGCUGGCGGCAGGCUUAACACAUGCAAGUCGAGCGCCCCGCAAGGGGAGCGGCAGACGGGUGAGUAACGCGUGGGAACGUACCCUUUGCUACGGAAUAGCUCCGGGAAACUGGAAUUAAUACCGUAUGUGCCCUACGGGGGAAAGGUUUAUCGGCAAAGGAUCGGCCCGCGCUGGAUUAGCUAGUUGGUGGGGUAACGGCCUACCAAGGCGACGAUCCAUAGCUGGUCUGAGAGGAUGAUCAGCCACAUUGGGACUGAGACACGGCCCAAACUCCUACGGGAGGCAGCAGUGGGGAAUAUUGGACAAUGGGCGCAAGCCUGAUCCAGCCAUGCCGCGUGAGUGAUGAAGGCCUUAGGGUUGUAAAGCUCUUUCACCGGAGAAGAUAAUGACGGUAUCCGGAGAAGAAGCCCCGGCUAACUUCGUGCCAGCAGCCGCGGUAAAAC